rnacentral:lncRNA from 1 species
GUUGGAGUCCUUUCCCUGAGGGCAAGGCCUGGGUCUUCCUAACUCCUAUGGGACCUUGCCCUCUGUAAAUUCCAGUUGGGCAGCCUCCUGCCUAUGAAGAGAGGAGAAAGAGCUCUUCUCUGGGAUCCUUCUCCCUCCCCAGCUCAGUCUGCAGAGGAACAAAACCUACCCCAAGAAGGGAGCCUGGAUUGAGAGAGAAUGGCUCCUGGGAGCAGCCAAGCCCCAGCCCAGCUCGUCAGUGUUCAGACGGAGAGACCAGGCUGGAGGGCCCCUCACCAUCCACCAGGAGACUGUUUGGAUCCAGGGUAAAGUUCUGUAGCUGGGUGCCAUCAUGGGCAGUCUGAGGACCUCUUGGUACGCAGAAGCCCUGUCAAAGUUCCGGGCCUGAGCGGCUGAUGUGAAGUCACAUGAGCAGUCCACUUCUGUGAGGCGUCUGGGAGAGAGGAGCCUAAAGAAGAAGAGGGCAGGGUGUGGGUGAAUGAGAGAGGAAGAAGGCAGGUAGAGAGGAGAGGACAGGAGCAGUGAUGGCCUCAGGGGAGCUGGGGCAUGCUGAGCAGCCUUCUGGCCCUGGCAGGAAAACCUGCACCUCCCCACCAAAACUAGACUUCUUACGUGUUUUGUGAAUACAUGCAUCUAGAUGGGCUCCUUGAGGACACGGAUGGCUUUAUUCUUUGUAUCUUUUGCCCUGUGCCUGACACUUCGAGUAUGCUGCUUAAAACCUUAUUGAAAGGCUGAUUGCUUCUAUAUGUGUGUAGAUUUACAUGUUGUCUCUCUAUGUUCCCCAGCACGUGUCCCACUGCUUGGG